rnacentral:lncRNA from 1 species
AAUAGAUGAAUCUUUUCUGCAGCCUUUGAGCAGCAACUUGGAGGGAGGAACCCCUAUAGAGUUCCAAGGAGGCCGAUCCCCUAAAGAGAUCAACCCCAAGUUUAGAAUCUGCAAGGGUUCUAACACCUGGUAUCAGAGCAGCGUUCUUGGCGUCUCGGUGCCCUUCCACAGCCAUCCAUCAACCCUCUACAAUCAUCCAAAGCAAUUCCCACAAUUGCUUAAAAGAUCGUCACCGAAUUCCGCCAUCAUCUCCACCAUCGCGGAUCAUCCUUUGAUCUCCCCGUGAAUUGCAACAGGUUCUGGUUUCCUACCUUACUGCUGCUGCAAUUUAGUUAUCCUUAUUCAAAAAUAAAAAAAAAAAAAUCGUUCUUAUAUUGCUGCAUAAACUUUUCGUCACAAAGUUUUCAUCUCUACGACGAAAGAUACAUUGCAGAAUUCCAGCCGCAUAGCACCAUCUAUUUG